rnacentral:rRNA from 1 species
GUGCACGCUGGCGGUAGGCCUAACACAUGCCAGUCGAACGGCAGCACAGUAAGAGCUUGCUCUUACGGGUGGCGAGUGGCGAACGGGUGAGGAAUACAUCGGAAUCUACUUUUUCGUGGGGGAUAACGUAGGGAAACUUACGCUAAUACCGCAUACGACCUACGGGUGAAAGCAGGGGAUCUUCGGACCUUGCGCGAUUGAAUGAGCCGAUGUCGGAUUAGCUAGUUGGCGGGGUAAAGGCCCACCAAGGCGACGAUCCGUAGCUGGUCUGAGAGGAUGAUCAGCCACACUGGAACUGAGACACGGUCCAGACUCCUACGGGAGGCAGCAGUGGGGAAUAUUGGACAAUGGGCGCAAGCCUGAUCCAGCCAUACCGCGUGGGUGAAGAAGGCCUUCGGGUUGUAAAGCCCUUUUGUUGGGAAAGAAAAGCAGCAGGUUAAUACCCCGCUGUUCUGACGGUACCCAAAGAAUAAGCACCGGCUAACUUCGUG